rnacentral:rRNA from 1 species
GGGCAGCAGGACUGUAGCAAUACAGUUGCUGGCGACCGGCAAACGGGUGCGGAACACGUACGCAACCUUCCUUUAAGUGAGGGAUAGCCCAGGGAAACUUGGAUUAAUACCUCGUAAUAUUUGAGAGUGGCAUCACUUUCUAAUUAUAGCUCCGGCGCUUAAAGAUGGGCGUGCGACUGAUUAGGUAGUUGGCGGGGUAACGGCCCACCAAGCCUGCGAUCAGUAACUGGUGUGAGAGCACGACCAGUCACACGGGCACUGAGACACGGGCCCGACUCCUACGGGAGGCAGCAGUAAGGAAUAUUGGUCAAUGGACGCAAGUCUGAACCAGCCAUGCCGCGUGGAGGAUGAAGGUCCUCUGGAUUGUAAACUUCUUUUAUCUGGGAAGAAACCCAUAUUUUCUAGUGUGGUUGACGGUACCAGAUGAAUAAGCACCGGCUAACUCCGUGCCAGCAGCCGCGGUAAUACGGAGGGUGCAAGCGUUAUCCGGAUUCACUGGGUUUAAAGGGUGCGUAGGCGGGUUGGUAAGUCCGUGGUGAAAUCCCCAAGCUUAACUUGGGAACUGCCGUGGAUACUAUCAAUCUUGAAUAUCGUGGAGGUAAGCGGAAUAUGUCAUGUAGCGGUGAAAUGCUUAGAUAUGACAUAGAACACCAAUUGCGUAGGCAGCUUACUACACGAUCAUUGACGCUG